CUAACACAUGCAAGUCGAACGAAGUCUUCGGACUUAGUGGCGCACGGGUGCGUAACGCGUGGGAAUCUGCCCUUGGGUACGGAAUAACUCAGAGAAAUUUGUGCUAAUACCGUAUAAUGUCUUCGGACCAAAGAUUUAUCGCCCAAGGAUGAGCCCGCGUAGGAUUAGCUAGUUGGUGAGGUAAAAGCUCACCAAGGCGACGAUCCUUAGCUGGUCUGAGAGGAUGAUCAGCCACACUGGGACUGAGACACGGCCCAGACUCCUACGGGAGGCAGCAGUGGGGAAUAUUGGACAAUGGGCGAAAGCCUGAUCCAGCAAUGCCGCGUGAGUGAUGAAGGCCUUAGGGUUGUAAAGCUCUUUUACCCGGGAUGAUAAUGACAGUACCGGGAGAAUAAGCUCCGGCUAACUCCGUGCCAGCAGCCGCGGUAAUACGGAGGGAGCUAGCGUUGUUCGGAAUUACUGGGCGUAAAGCGCGCGUAGGCGGUUUUUUAAGUCAGAGGUGAAAGCCCAGUGCUCAACACUGGAACUGCCUUUGAAACUGGAAAACUUGAAUCUUGGAGAGGUCAGUGGAAUUCCGAGUGUAGAGGUGAAAUUCGUAGAUAUUCGGAAGAACACCAGUGGCGAAGGCGACUGACUGGACAAGUAUUGACGCUGAGGUG
rnacentral:rRNA from 1 species